rnacentral:rRNA from 1 species
ACKGCUCAGUAACACGUGGCUAACCUACCCUCGAGACAGGGACAACCCCGGGAAACUGGGGCUAAUCCCAGAUAGAUGAGAAAACCUGGAAUGGGUUUUCGUCCAAAAGGCACCGCAGUUAUGCUCUGCAGUGUCGCUCAAGGAUGGGGCCGCGUCCGAUCAGGCUGUUGGUGAGGCAAUGGCUCACCAAACCUAUAACCGGUACGGGCCGUGGGAGCGGGAGCCCGGAGAUGGGAACUGAGACAAGGUCCCAGGCCCUACGGGGCGCAGCAGUUACGAAAACUUGUCAAUGCACGAAAGUGUGAACGGGCUACCCCGAGUGCCGUCCGCUGAGGAUGGCUUUUCUCUGCUGUAGAAAGGCGGAGGAAUAAGGCGAGGGCAAGUCUGGUGUCAGCCGCCGCGGUAAUACCAGCUCGCCGAGUGGUAGGGAUGAUUAUUGGGCUUAAAGCGUCCGUAGCCGGCCUUUCAAGUCUCUUGUUAAAUCCAACGAUUCAAUCGCUGGACUGCAGGAGAUACUGUUAGGCUAGGGGGCGGGAGAAGCCGACGGUAUUUUCGGGGUAGGGGUAAAAUCCUAUAAUCCCGGGAAGACCACCAGUGGCGUAGGCGGUCGGCUAGCACGCGCUCGACGGUGAGGGACGAAAGCUGGGGGAGCGAACCGGAUUAGAUACCCGGGUAGUCUCAGCUGUAAACGAUGCUGGCUAGGUGUUGAAGCGGCUACGAGCCGCUUCAGUGCCGCAGGGAAGCCAUUAAGCCAGCCGCCUGGGGAGUACGGCCGCAAGGCUGAAACUUAAAGGAAUUGGCGGGGGAGCAC